rnacentral:rRNA from 1 species
AUUGAACGCUGGCGGCAGGCCUAACACAUGCAAGUCGAACGAGUGGCGGACGGGUGAGUAAUGUCUGGGAAACUGCCUGAUGGCGGGGGAUAACUACUGGAAACGGUAGCUAAUACCGCAUACCAUCAGAUGUGCCCAGAUGGGAUUAGCUAGUAGGUGGGGUAACGGCUCACCUAGGCGCCGAUCGCUAGCUGGUCUGCGAGGAUGACCAGCCACACGGGAACUGAGACAGGGUCCAGAGUCCUAAGGGAGGCAGCAGUGUGGAAUAUGGGACAAUGGUGGCAAGCCUGAUGCAGCCAGGCGGCGUGUAUGAAGAAGGCCUGCGGGGUGUAAAGUACGUUCAGCGGGGAGGCGUUACCCGCAGAAGAAGCACCGGCUAACUCCGUGCCAGUAGCCGCGGUAAUUC